CGGCGGAACCUUUUUCAACUGUCUCUUCCCCCACCCUUUUAAAUUCUUUCCUGUGUGAAGAAACCCAGAUACAUCAGAAAGACGAGAAGACCCUGUCGAGCUUUAACCACUAAGUGAGUUUACUUAUCCCUUUUUAAAUAUCACCAAAAGGUUUUGGUUGGGGCAACCACGGAGAAAAAAAAUCCUCCAGAUUAAAUAGAAGAAAACUCUUCACUAUUACGCUUUCAAGAACCAGGAACUGGUAAUCGGAAAAAGUUACCGCAGGGAUAACAGCGUUAUCUCCUCUAAGAGUCCUUAUUGACGAGGAGGUUUGCGACCUCGAUGUUGGAUUGGGGCCCCCUUAGGGUGCAGAAGCUCUAAACGGUUAGACUGUUCGUCUAUUAAAGCCCUACGUGAUCUGAGU
rnacentral:rRNA from 1 species